GCCGCAAGGCUAAAACUCAAAGGAAUUGACGGGGGCCCGCACAAGCGGCGGAGCAUGCGGAUUAAUUCGAUGCAACGCGAAGAACCUUACCAAGGCUUGACAUGAACCGGAAAGACCUGGAAACAGGUGCCCCGCUUGCGGUCGGUUUACAGGUGGUGCAUGGUUGUCGUCAGCUCGUGUCGUGAGAUGUUGGGUUAAGUCCCGCAACGAGCGCAACCCUCGUUCUAUGUUGCCAGCACGUGAUGGUGGGGACUCAUAGGAGACUGCCGGGGUCAACUCGGAGGAAGGUGGGGACGACGUCAAAUCAUCAUGCCCCUUAUGUCUUGGGCUUCACGCAUGCUACAAUGGCCGGUACAAAGGGUUGCGAUACUGUGAGGUGGAGCUAAUCCCAAAAAGCCGGUCUCAGUUCGGAUUGGGGUCUGCAACUCGACCCCAUGAAGUCGGAGUCGCUAGUAAUCGCAGAUCAGCAACGCUGCGGUGAAUACGUUCCCGGGCCUUGUACACACCGCCCGUCAAGUCACGAAAGUUGGUAACACCCGAAGCCGGUGGCCUAACCCCUUGUGGGAGGGAGCUGUCGAAGGUGGGACUGGCGAUUGGGANUAAGUCGUAACAAGGUAGCCGUACCGGAAGGUGCGG
rnacentral:rRNA from 1 species